rnacentral:miRNA from 1 species
GUGCUCCACUCCGGCCGCCCAGGGAAGGGCACCAAGGGCUGGGCCGGUCGGCGUCCGG